UUUACACCUUAUAUACUAAAAUCCUUAAUGUUGCAUAGUUUUCAUAAAUCUGUGUUUUUUUUUUUUACAGUAUCUUCUUACGGAUCCACACAUGCCAAGAGAACAUGCAUAUCGGAAAUGCCACCAAGCUAUCCAUGGACUCCUGAAACUACUACAAAAAAAAGAAAAACAAAUACAAGCUUACAAACAAAAAAGUACACUUUUGACAAAUCACAUUAAAAACACAGAAACAAAACUAACAGAAGCUUUGCUUAAACUCGACAUAUUGGAAGCUACACAGUCAUUCCAAUUAAGUGAAGAAACCGAUGAAUGGGACAACAUGGACUUGAACGAACUUGAAAACACUCCAGAAGAUGGAAUAAAGACAAACAUGAAUACAGAGGAAAUGGAUGCAUUCUCAACUGGAAAAGAAGAUGG